rnacentral:rRNA from 1 species
UACGGGGGGGGCAAGCGUUGUUCGGAAUUACUGGGCGUAAAGGGCUCGUAGGUGGCCGGCUAAGUCGGACGUGAAAUCCCUCAGCUUAACUGGGGAACUGCGUCCGAUACUGGAUGGCUUGAGUUUGGGAGAGGGAUGCGGAAUUCCAGGUGUAGCGGUGAAAUGCGUAGAUAUCUGGAGGAACACCGGUGGCGAAGGCGGCAUCCUGGACCAACACUGACACUGAGGAGCGAAAGCCAGGGGAGCAAACGGG